AUAUCAUUAAGCGGAGGAAAAGAAACUAACAAGGAUGCCCCUAGUAACGGCGAGUGAAGCGGGCGAAGCUCAAGUUGAAAAUCGGGGCCUCUUUGGGGUUUCGAAUUGUAGUCUAGAGACGCAGCGUCAGCAAUAGCCCCUGGUAUAAAUCUUUUGGAACAAGGUAUCAUAGAGGGUGAGAAUCCCGUCUUUGACUAGGAGUGCUAUGCGUACGACCUGUGUUCGCAGAGUCGGGUUGCUUGGGAUUGCAGCUCAAAAUGGGUGGUAAAUUUCAUCUAAAGCUAAAUAUCGACGAGAGACCGAUAGCAAACAAGUACCGUGAGGGAAAGAUGAAAAGAACUUUGAAAAGAGAGUUAAAAAGUACUUGAAAUUGUUAAGAGGGAAGCACUGGAAACCAGUCGUGCUCUGUGCCAUCUUUAUCGUCGUCUGGCCAAGGCGCGUGGUUGACGGAUCGCAAGACCGGCGGUUGCGCGCGGAGGUUGGAUGGCGAGUUCUGUGGUAUGGAGUGAGUCAGAGUGAAUUCGUUGCGCGGGAGAAAGCUAGCGCGGACGGUAGGGCCGAGGGGGCAACUCCAGAGCCUGAAGCCGGUUAGUGCUACCGUGUGG
rnacentral:rRNA from 1 species